UGGCUUAGACAGUAAAGAGUCUGUCUGCAAUGCAGGAGACCCAGGUUCAAUCCCUGG
rnacentral:tRNA from 1 species